UAGAUAAUUAAUAGGUUAGUUGAAGAACAACUUCAGGCUGGUCUUAUGGAACCAACACUUAGUCUUUGGAACACCCCCAUUUUGUUAUUAAGAAAAAGUCAGGUAAUUGGAGAUUACUACAGGAUUUAAGGAUGACAACUCAGCAAUUAAGCCUAUGGGAUCAUUACAGCCAGGUCUUUCUUCCCCCACAGCCAUCCCUUUAAACUAUAGCUUGAUGGAAAUAGAUCUAAAAGAUUGUUUUUUUUUUUUCUCAAUAAGGUUACAUCCUGAAGAUUGUGAAAACAU
rnacentral:sRNA from 1 species